UGUGGGAGCGGGCUUGCUCGCGAUGGCGGUGGGUCAGCCAAUAAAUUUGGUACUGAUACACCGCCAUCGCGAGCAAGCCCGCUCCCACA
rnacentral:misc_RNA from 1 species